UACCCUCACUUUGGUAAUUAAUUUCCACGCUUAAAAAACAAACACCCACACCUUAUGGAUAGCUGAUACAUUUUUUAAUCCUUUCCUGGCCGUCCGGCUACCUUUGUUUCACCUUUCGCACGCUUGCCGUUUACCACGUUACUCUUACUAUUUUUUCACUUUUUUUGUUGACGUUUUUUUCGCUAUAAAUCUCAAUGUAAAAAUUUUCACACACACAGAAAAGCGUGGAAAAAUAAACGCCACCCCCGAAUGCCAAUAAAGGGGCCCACAUAUGCAGAGGAGCAACGCCCAGCCCGGCCCAGGCACGCUAAAGCAGCGCGAGAUCAAAAACACUUGCCACAAAGAUGAAACUGUGGGGGUGUGGGUGUUUGGCCAGGAUCGAGGAGGUGAAGGUGUGUCAGGAUGCAUAGGUUUUGCAACUCCUGGUCCUGGUGCAUGCUCCUUGCCGCAAAAGCCGACUGACACACCCCCCAAAAACACCAGCCCUGGAUAGAUUGCACCUGCAACACCUGCAAGUAACGUGACUCUGUCUCCUCACCUGCCGAGCAAUAUCUUGACUGAAGCUGUAGCUGAAGCUGGAGGCGUGGUAAAUGCAGUAAAUCCCCUUUUUGCCUUCACAGUUUCAUGGACUAACCCCUCCAAAAAUAAAAUCCUUUCGGGAGAAAAAACAAAAAAAAUUAAAACAAAAACCCGUGAAGCGGAUUCCCCGCUUAUAUGUACACUUUUUGACAUGUUUGUUUUUUAUGCAAAUAUCGAAAUAAAGAUUAGUUUUGUUGG